AACGCCCCGUCCCGGGCCGCGGCGCCUGCCGCCGGGGCAACGGUCGCCACGGAAACCUCCCCUCCCUCUCCCCGCGGCGGGGAUGGAGCCCGAGCGACGCCCGGGAUGGGCGCUCACGCCCCGGCCCUCUUCCUCCUCCUCCUCCUCCUCCUCCUCCUCCUCCUCCUCCUCCUCCCCCUCCUCGCCCGACGGACUCAUCCCUGCAAAGUACCGUUGGAGAGCUUGAUCAUCAUGGCUUGAAACCUAAGCGGCUCUGAUUCGGAAUCUGGACCGUUUGUCGCCUUUAGAGUCUCAGUUCUUCGGCCGUGGGUUGUACCCGUACCUUCCAGGCUGUCCCCUUUGCCCUUAUUAGGAGACACACUUCAUGUACCCAACCCUAAAUGGCGUGAAUAAAAUUAUAUGAUUAGGGUAUCUA